rnacentral:rRNA from 1 species
AAUUUUGGACAAUGGGGGAAACCCUGAUCCAGCCAUCCCGCGUGUAUGAUGAAGGCCUUCGGGUUGUAAAGUACUGUUGGCAGAGAAGAGAAGGUAUCUUCUAAUACGAGAUACUGCUGACGGUAUCUGCAGAAUAAGCACCGGCUAACUACGUGCCAGCAGCCGCGGUAAUACGUAGGUUGCAAGCGUUAAUCGGAUUUACUGGGGUUAAGGGUGUUAAAGUCGUUUGGAAACAAAAGUGUGACAUCCCGGGGGUCCACCUUGGGACAGCAUUUUUAGAUGCCCGGCUAAAAGUAAUCCGCAGGGGGUAGAAUUCCACCUGUAGGAAUGAAAUGCCUAAAUAUGUGGAAGAAUACCGAUGGCGUAGGCAGCCCCCUGGGGUAAUACUGGCGCUCAGACACGGAAGGGUGGGGAGCAAACAG